CCCUUAGAUGUUCUGGGCCGCACGCGCGCUACACUGAUACAAGCAACAAGUCGUUCCUCGGCCGACAGGUCUGGGUAAUCUUGUCAAAUUGUAUCGUGAUAGGGCUUGACGAUUGUAAUUAUUUGUCACAAACGAGGAAUUCCUAGUAAGCGCAAGUCAUCAACUUGCACUGAUUACGUCCCUGCCCUUUGUACACACCGCCCGUCGCUCCUACCGAUUGAAUGUUAAGGCGAACUCUCCGGAGUCGCUGGCAAGUAUUGGGUGACCUUUACAGCUGACGAUAAAGUUGCGUAAGCCUUGACAUUUAGAGGAAGGAAAAGUCGUAACA
rnacentral:rRNA from 1 species